rnacentral:rRNA from 1 species
UACAGAGGUCCCAAUCGUUGUUCGGAUUCACUGGGCGUAAAGGGUGCGUAGGCGGUCGGGUAAGUCUGAUGUGAAAUCUCACAGCUUAACUGUGAAACUGCAUUGGAUACUAUCCGGCUCGAGGAAUGGAGGGGAGACUGGAAUACUUGGUGUAGCAAGUGAAAUGCGUAGAUAUCAAGUGGAACACCAGUGGCGAAGGCGAGUCUCUGGACAUUUCCUGACGCUGAGGCACGAAAGCCAGGGGAGCAAACGGG